CCUACGGGAGGCAGCAGUGAGGAAUAUUGGUCAAUGGACGAGAGUCUGAACCAGCCAAGUAGCGUGAAGGAUGACUGCCCUAUGGGUUGUAAACUUCUUUUAUAAAGGAAUAAAACGAGGCACGUGUGCCUUUUUGCAUGUACUUUAUGAAUAAGGAUCGGCUAACUCCGUGCCAGCAGCCGCGGUAAUACGGAGGAUCCGAGCUUUAUCCGGAUGUAUUGGGUUUAAAGGGAGCGUAGAUGGGUUGUUAAGUCAGUUGUGAAAGUUUGCGGCGCAACCGUAAAAUUGCAAUUGAUACUGGCAGUCUUGAGUACAGUUGAGGUAGGCGGAAUUCGUGGUGUAGCGGUGAAAUGCUUAGAUAUCACGAAGAACCCCGAUUGCGAAGGCAGCUUACUAAACUGUGACUGACAUUGAUGCUCGAAAGUGUGGGUAUCAAACAGGAUUAGAUACCCUUGUAGUC
rnacentral:rRNA from 1 species